rnacentral:rRNA from 1 species
GCAAGUCAACUUGACUUUAGAUAGCAAUAUCGAAAGUAGGGUGGCGCACGGUGCGUACCGCGUAGGUAAUCUGCCCUGAGGUCUGACAUAACCCGUCGAAAGGCGGGCUAACAUCAGAUGAUAUAUAAUCACGACAUCGUGGAAAUAUCAAAUCUUCGGAGCCUUGGGAUGAGCCUGCGUCUGAUUAGGUAGUUGGCGGAGUAAUAGCCCACCAAGCCUACGAUCAGUAGCUGGUCUGAGAGGAUGAUCAGCCACACUGGAACUGAGACACGGUCCAGACUCCUACGGGAGGCAGCAGUAAGGAAUAUUGCUCAAUGGGGGGAAACCCUGAAGCAGCAACGCCGCGUGAAGGAUGAAAUACUUUUGUAUGUAAACUUCUGUAAGAUGGGAAAAAUAUUCUCCUCGGGAGAAUUGAUUGUACCAUCAGAGUAAGCCCCGGCUAACUACGUG